UGUGUAUGAGGGUAUCUGUGUAUGCAUGUAUACAGAUAGCUGUACUUCUGACCCAACAACCUUGAAUAACUAGGGAAUAUUCUAAAUCUGCUGAAAAUCUGAGAUGAUGGCUAAGAGAUAAUAUAUUCUUCCAUAGUAUCGUUGGGACAUUGGAUGAAAGACUGAAUAAGCAGGUGCCUAGGAUACUUUAUCAUAGUUUUAGCC